CCCUUAGAUGUCCUGGGCCGCACGCGCGCUACACUGAUGCAUGCAACGAGUUUCACUUUUCCUGGGUCGAGAGGCCCGGGUAAUCUGUUGAACGUGCAUCGUGAUAGGGAUAGAUCAUUGCAAUUAUUGAUCUUGAACGAGGAAUUCCUAGUAAACGCGAGUCAUCAGCUCGCAUUGAUUACGUCCCUGCCCUUUGUACACAUCGCCCGUCGCACCUACCGAUUGAAUGUUUCGGUGAAGAUUCCGGACCGAGCGAUGAUCGCUUUACGGCGGUCGCCAUUUGGGAAGUUAUCUAAACCUCAACAUUUAGAGGAAGGUGAAGUCGUAACA
rnacentral:rRNA from 1 species